CAUCUACUCCCUCCGUUCCGAAUUACUUGUCUCGAAAAUGGAUGUAACUAGAACUAAAAUACAUCUAGAUACAUCCAUUUUCGCGACAAGUAAUUCCGAACGGAGGGAGUAUGUA
rnacentral:pre_miRNA from 1 species